rnacentral:tRNA from 1 species
GGGUCCAUAGCUCAACGGCAGAGCGGCCUGCUCAUAACGGGUUGGUUCUUGGUUCGAAUCCAAGUGGACCCA